UACAUGCAUAUAUAUAUAUAUAUAUAGAGUUGAGCUAGAAUACUCUCGAUAGUAAACGGAGCGUUUUACUAUCGAGUUGUUUUAGAUGAUAGAGCUUCCAAAUUUACGAUCGGUUCCGUUAAAUAUGAUCUAAACCAUUUAAACUAUCUAGAAAUUAAAUUUCACGCACUUUCGAUAUUGUUCUUUUAUCCAUCUAGUGAACAGAAAAUGAAUGGUUGAAAAUAAAUAUUCUUUAAAAAAUGAUGAUAGGAGUCUUGUAAUCAAGAUCAAGAGUAUAGAUCUUGUUUUAAAUAGUUUAAAAAAUUUUCUAACAAAAAUUCAAUUGAUUUGGAUAUCUUUACACCGUUAAACGAGAAAACGUCUCUUAUCCACCAUUAAAAUUACAAAUUUUGAAACCCUUUGAUCAUUAGGCAAAUGAUGUCGAAAGAUUUGAAAUUUGAUUUCUAAACACUUCAAGUGGUAUAGAUCAUGUUCAACAGAGCCGAUCGUUAAUUUGGAAGCUCUAUCAUCGAAAACAACUCGAUAGUGAAAUGCGUCGUUUACUAUCGAGAGUAUUCUAGCUCAACUCUAUAUAUAUAUAUAUAUAUACACACACACCAA
rnacentral:lncRNA from 1 species